ACCCCACCCCAACCCCCUGUCUCCUCUGACUGCUCCAUGCUGCCUCUGGGUCGCUCUCCUUCUCUCUGUUUCUGGGCCAAACACAGCUGAAUGCUGACUGGCAAAAUCAGCAGAGAACUUCCACAGCUAACUUUACUAACUUCACAGGGAAACAUCUAACCUCUCCAAGAUACCGCCCUUACUACCUCCCUACAGGGGUACCAGUGCUGAGCUGAAUGGAUCACACUCAACACACACAGCACACUCAACACACACAGGCACACCCAAAAGGUAGAGAAGAUGGAGAUGAGAAAAUAGGGUUUGUUUUCUGUCUGUCUGAGAGAUUGUUGUUCUAAUCUCUUUCUUUCUGUCUGUCUUUAUCUCUCUCUGGCUAUCCAUCUCGCUCUCUUUCUCUCUCUUUCUCUAUCUCAUAGGAGGAACUGAAGAGCCUCCAGACUGGCCUGAAGCAUGUCAAUGAUGAAAGUGUUCAACUGCAGAGUCACCAGCUGACUACAGACCUUGAGAACAACUUCAACAUGCCCCCAAUGAAGACCAAGGUGUUGAUUAUCCAGCGCGCUUGGCGUGACUUCCUCCAGAGACAGGAAUUGAUGGAGAAGAGGAGCCCCUCCCCUCCCUCCCUCUCCUCCUCUGACAAGAUGAGCACGUCCAUCAGCAUGACCACUCUAUCAGAUGGCAUCACCCCUGUAAGUCCCACCCCUCUAUCUUUGCUCUGAGUACAGCAGGUGAACUGUCUAUGUUAUUGUGUAGGGUACACUUUACUAAGGCAAACACAUGGUGUGGGUCAGAUGGAAUGGUGUGUUCUUUUUCAAUACAUUUUCAAUACUAGCCCUAAGGAU
rnacentral:lncRNA from 1 species